rnacentral:misc_RNA from 1 species
CUCCCACCCGUGCUUACCGUACCCUGUUGCUUCGGCGGGCCCGAAAACAGGCGGCCCGGGGCCUGCCCCCGGGACCGCGCCCGCCGGAUACCCCAAUGGAACACUGUCUGAAAGCGUGCAGUCUGAGUUGAUUGAUACCAAUCAGUUAAAACUUUCAACAAUGGAUCUCUUGGUUCCGGCAUCGAUGAAGAACGCAGCGAAAUGCGAUAACUAAUGUGAAUUGCAGAAUUCAGUGAAUCAUCGAGUCUUUGAACGCACAUUGCGCCCCCUGGUAUUCCGGGGGGCAUGCCUGUCCGAGCGUCAUUUCUCCCCUCCAGCCCCGCUGGUUGUUGGGCCGCGCCCCCCCGGGGGCGGGCCUCGAGAGAAACGGCGGCACCGUCCGGUCCUCGAGCGUAUGGGGCUCUGUCACCCGCUCUAUGGGCCCGG